AUCUGUUAGACAAGGUUUAUCUUUGUACAAAGGACACAACCACCACCUUGAAUUUAUUCACAUCACUGAGGGCAGUGAGGCCUGUUUAUCAAACUUUCCACAUGUUCCAGGAGGACUAUUUUAUACACAUAAGUGACAUUGUUUUCUGUUGAUCGUGCUGCUAUAAAAUUGUCAAUAUGUCCAUGCAGAUGGCACAGAGACUUUUUUGGGAUAUAUUGGCGGGACUAUUCAACAAAGUGUGGAUUCAAAGAUCGUCCUGCUGACAUUAAGGCAAAACUCCAAAAGGGGAAAAGCUGAUAGUGAUGGAGGAACCACACUAACCCUAUCAUUGGAAUACUGACUUUUGUAAUGACAACUAAUUCCAAAAGGGUCAGGUCUCUGCAAGCAGUGUUUUACCAAGAUUAGACAAACAGUAGCUGAUGGAGGAAUCAUAGUUGAUACAAAAAAGAUUAUGAUGGAGAUGAAAGCCAAAUUAAAGAUACUCAGGUUCUCAUAGGAGUAUAUUCAGAGCAUCAACUAAUUUUUCAUAAUAUUUAGCAUCAGAUUGGGAAACAGAUAACAUUUCUGACCGGGAGAAACUCAACAGAGGCUUGCAUUUCCUUUGAAAUGGAAAGUAUCCACCAUUUAGGAACCAAUUGAAUCUGGCAUGGGAUGAUGUAUCAAACAGUACAAUGGCUUUUUCUACAAAAUUAUGUUUUGACUGAAGCUCUUAUUGAUGCAUACUUACUAACUUCGACCUGAAUAGUCAUCUGAUCUGGCUUCAGAUCUUAUCACUGUUUGCAUGUAUUCAGACCGUUUUGCCUGUUUCUCUUUAUGGCAGACUUCCCUUAUAUUAUAUGACAGUAAAAUUAUAAGCAAACAGCCUGAAUAAUUAUAUAACCAUUUUAAUGAAAAUGUCUGCAUCACAGUUGAACCAUUUAUCUGUAUAUUUGUUUUUAUUCAUGUAGGUAUAAAAUAAAUUUUAUUUCCAUUUGAAA